AAUAAGAGUAAUUUUACAUUGUAUAUAUUCAACAUUUAACUAUUAUUUUAUUUGAUAUUCUUUUAUGAUUACUAUUUUUAUUGUUAUUUGAUGAUAAAACAGGAAUAAUAUUUUACGUGUGACUGAUUUUUUAAAUUUUUCAUAAAGUUUUUAAAUAAGACAAACGGUUAAAUGUUAAAUACGGAUAGCAUGGCUAUACUUAUU
rnacentral:pre_miRNA from 1 species